rnacentral:sRNA from 1 species
GCUGGGCAUGGUGGCGCAUGCCUGUAACCCCAGUGGCUGGGGAGGCUGAGGCAGGAGGAUCUCAAGUUCAAAGCCAGCCUCAG